rnacentral:rRNA from 1 species
AAAUUGAAGAGUUUGAUCAUGGCUCAGAUUGAACGCUGGCGGCAGGCCUAACACAUGCAAGUCGAACGGUAACAGGAAGCAGCUUGCUGUUUCGCUGACGAGUGGCGGACGGGUGAGUAAUGUCUGGGAAACUGCCUGAUGGAGGGGGAUAACUACUGGAAACGGUAGCUAAUACCGCAUAACGUCGCAAGACCAAAGAGGGGGACCUUCGGGCCUCUUGCCA